rnacentral:rRNA from 1 species
AGCAAUACUCCAUUUUGACCGUUAGCCUGCAGAAAAAGCACCCGGCUAACUCCGUGCCAGCAGCCGCGGUAAAACGGAGGGUGCGAGCGUUAAUCGGAAUUACUGGGCGUAAAGCGCAUGCAGGUGGUUUGUUAAGUCAGAUGUGAAAGCCCGGGGCUCAACCUCGGAAUUGCAUUUGAAACUGGCAAACUAGAGUACUGUAGAGGGGGGUAGAAUUUCAGGUGUAGCGGUGAAAUGCGUAGAGAUCUGAAGGAAUACCGGUGGCGAAGGCGGCCCCCUGGACAGAUACUGACACUCAGAUGCGAAAGCGUGGGGAGCAAACAGGAUUAGAUACCCUGGUAGUCCACGCCGUAAACGAUGCCUACUUGGAGGUUGUGGCCUUGAGCCGUGGCUUUCGGAGCUAACGCGUUAAGUAGACCGCCUGGGGAGUACGGUCGCAAGAUUAAAACUCAAAUGAAUUGACGGGGGCCCGCACAAGCGGUGGAGCAUGUGGUUUAAUUCGAUGCAACGCGAAGAACCUUACCUACUCUUGACAUCUACAGAAGCCAGCGGAGACGCAGGUGUGCCUUCGGGAACUGUAAGACAGGUGCUGCAUGGCUGUCGUCAGCUCGUGUUGUGAAAUGUUGGGUUAAGUCCCGCAACGAGCGCAACCCUUAUCCUUGUUUGCCAGCACUUCGGGUGGGAACUCCAGGGAGACUGCCGGUGAUAAACCGGAGGAAGGUGGGGACGACGUCAAGUCAUCAUGGCCCUUACGAGUAGGGCUACACACGUGCUACAAUGGCGCAUACAGAGGGCGGCCAACUUGCGAAAGUGAGCGAAUCCCAAAAAGUGCGUCGUAGUCCGGAUUGGAGUCUGCAACUCGACUCCAUGAAGUCGGAAUCGCUAGUAAUCGUGGAUCAGAAUGCCACGGUGAAUACGUUCCCGGGCCUUGUACACACCGCCCGUCACACCAUGGGAGUGGGCUGCAAAAGAAGUGGGUAGUUUAACCUUCGGGAGGACGCUCACCACUUUGUGGUUCAUGACUGGGGGGAAGUCGUAACAAGGUAACCG